GAUUUCCCCUGAAAAGGGCUGAUGCAGAAUGGAUUGUACUUCUUCCGUGGAUAACUGCGUUUGUCCCCUUUGGGUUGAUGCGAGCCUCUCCUUCCCCAAACAUUCUGAUUAAUCAUGGUGGUACCACGUUUGGCUUUGGACAACACCUUGUACUUUAACUUCCUCCUUGUUUCACAUAGACUGGAUUAAAAUGAAGUUGCAUUUCUGAGAACAGAGUGUUUCUUGGGGGAUGGUAAAUUUUUGCCCCAUGAUUAAAACUUAUAUUGAUGCAAGUGCAUGAUUGUAUACACAUGUGAAGACUUUCCAGUUUUGUGAUGAUUGCAUUUUUAGCAUUAAUGGAAUAUGUUGAUUGAUUUUUUUCAGUGAAUGAGGACUGAUGAAGCAGAUGAGUUUGCUGCAGGGUCUGAAAACAAAGUGAAAAGUCCUAGAGAACCCAACAUCUUUCCAUAUCUAAGAAAAGGCUUAAAAGAAGACUCAGGACCUUGAGAAGGACCCGUGAAUCCAUGCGAUGGAAGAAACAGCACCAUGUAUUUAUGCAUAUGACUGCUUAGAGAAUUACCAUCUCCUAGAGGCUGUUCCCCAGCCCCUUGAGUUAUUGCCACCUAGCUAGAAACGUGAGUCUUCUAAAGGUCAUUCUUCUUCAGGAUGAGGGGAAAUGUAAUUUGACCAGUAAAUUCCAUGAACAUUGCUCUAUUGCAUUCAUUUCCUGUGAAAUGAGUUGCUUGUUUAGAAGUGAUCCUGUUUGAAAUACCAUGAUGGCGAGUAAGGCAUUUUUCCAGUCUAUGAAUAUUGGUUUCUCAAAAGCCCAACAGGUGGGAAGGAAAAUCCCUAUCCAGAGUGUCUCUUUGGAUAAGAACAAAGUACUAGCUCUUCCUUUAUGGAAGGAAUUCAAUGUAAUCACCUGCCAUCUGGUAGCUGACUGAUCAGUCUAGAGACUGGUGCUAUGUUGGGGCUCAGUGUUGCUCUCUGCUUCUGGCAGAUUGUGCACUCAGAAGUGAUGGUGGUGAGAUCAGCCUUGGUGAGUGGAAGUCCAUGUUGCUGAGCAUAACCUCCAUCCCUGCCACAUGGCCACUUAGUUCUUGAGCCCACUAGAUUAUGACACGACUGCUGGGGAAAGAGGCUGAUUGAUAUCUAGAGAAUGCAUACUUUAUUCAUUAGAUUAUUAAAAUACUGCUCUGCUGAGGUUAUUCUUUGCUGAGAACUCUCAUAAGACACGAACAUCUUCACAUUGUAUGUCUACUGAGAUAGAUCUGUCACAUACCUCUUCCCCAGACCUCGUUGUCACUAAUUUUCAAUUGCAUACCCUCAAAGUCCCUGACCUUGCAGCCAAUGAGUCAGACACUGCCGAUGCAUGGGUAUGCACUCGUACCUCUGGCCAUCUCCCCUCCAGGCAGAGUGGACAACCAGGGGCACUGCUCAAGGUUCUUCCCUCUGGGAGGAUUUCCCUUCACUGUCCUUCAGGGCUGUUCCCGAGUGGGACAGUAGUGCCACAGCUGUGCACUUUUGACUUGUGUGGUAGGCAUGAUUCUAAUUAUGCCCGCCCAAUAUUUCAGUCUUCUGAUUAAUUUGAGUACUGCUGUGGUGGGAUUUUUUUAUGGAAAAAUAUGUAUUUUAUUUUGGUAGCAUUAAAAGAAAAACAAAACAACAGUAUUUCUGCAUUGAGGUGAAAACAAUGUUUAAAAUUUCUCAUCAACCAUGUAUAUUACAAAAGAAAGUAUGUUUUGCGAAGGUUCCAAAACACAGGCAAAUCUUAAUAUGAAAGUACAAGAAUCUGUAGUACAAAAUAACUGUCUUCUGAUAAGGCUUACAUAAGGGGAUGAAAGAGUGUCAAAACCAAAAAUAUUUGGUUAAUAUAUAUGGGAAUGAAUUCAUAUAAAGAUAAAGAAGUAACACUCAUAAUUAUUGCAGUCUGUGUUUCCACCUACGGUCAUGUGGUUCCUUCUCUCGUUACCCAGUCCAUGUUCCCUUAGCCCUCAGCAGGCACUUUGCCUGGUGAUAGUGCUGUUCCUGGUAGGGCGAGCAAAACGUUCACUCCUGAGGUUCAUGGGCAAUAACAGACCUGGGUGAAUUGGGUUGUUGUAAUUUCCACUGACCUUAAUUAGUGGCAGAGGUGCCCUCCAGGAUCUCCUGCCUUCCAGACAUACUCAUCUUACUCCCACUAUGACUAAGGGUCCCUGAAUCAAUCAAAUCCCAGACUCAACUUAAAGAUCCAAAAACUCAUGUAUGAAGGGGAGACUUCUUGAGGAAGGACCCCUCUACACUGAAAAGUUUGUAUUAAUCUUUCUUCCAUUCAUACCCAAAGCGUGAGGCAACCCUUUAUUAGGGUGACUGUACAUUGGGAAAGAGAAAUAAUCAGAUUUCUUGGUGAUUACAGGACCCCAGCUCUGAACGGGCACUAAUUUCCUAGAGACAUAAAUGUCAUUCUGGUUCUUUUGAGAAACGUUUGACUUACAACUUGGUCUUAGUAGAGACUGAAUGUUUGAGCAUGGGACACGAAGCUCCUGUUCCACCUGAGCUGCCAUCCUAACCUUGGAGUUUUCUGACCCACAAAGUCACAGCAGUGGGUAUGCAUGGAAGCAUCCGCUUAUCAAAUGGAAGGAAUAUGCACAAGCUCAGACUUGAGCAGGCCCUGAAGCCACAAGUACUUCUCAUGAGGAAGUGGCCCCAAACCCACGGCUCUGUCACCUACUACAUUAACUACUUUCUCUUGCUUGGAAGAAUUCUAAGAUGGUCCCCAUGACCUUUGCCCUCUGGUGUUACUCCAUCACUAUGGGACAGGACAAAAGUGAUUCUGCAGAUGUAACUGAGAUUACUAAUCAUUUGACCUUCAUGUAGUGGGGUUAAUGGGAGCGCCAAACCUAUUCUCAUGAGCCUUUUAAGCAGAGAGUUUUCUCCAGCUGGAAGCACAAGCAGAUGAGGUAGUUCUGAAGCACGGGAAGAAUUUAAUGUGUCCUUGAAGGCUUGAAGAUGGAGAGAGCCACCUGAAAAGGGCCUGAUGGUGACCUCUAGAGUUGAGAGUGAGUCCUAGCUAACAGCCAGCAAGAAACAGCCAGGCCUUCAGUCCCAUACAGCAAGUACUUGGAUGCUGCCAACAAUCCAAAUGAAUUUGGAGCUCAUUCCACCCCAGAUCUUCCAGAUGAGAACAGAGCUUGGCUAAAAUCUUGAUUUCAGCCUUUUAAGAACUGAAGCAGAGCACCAAGUCAAAUUCUGAGCUACAGAAAUGUGAUAUAAUAAAGAAUGGGUGUUGUUUUAAGCCACUAAGUUUUGGGUAAUAUUUUUAAGCCCCUAAAUCUGGGCUAUUUUCUAUACAAAAUAAAAAACUAAUACACUCUCUGAAUUUAGUUGAAAAUGUAACAUCUAUGGUGGGGCACUUCUGGAUUGGUGGAGUAAGGCCCGUGAAAAUCCAUACCUGCGUGAAAGCAAUGAGAACACUGGCAAAUACUGUCAAAAUAAAUGCUUUCAGAAUUCCGGAGUUAACCAAAGGCUUGUAACAACCUGAAGAGCGUUUAUUCACGAAAAAUGGCUAGAUCACAACAUGACCAGUGAGCUUAGGGAUGUUUUCACUUGCACUGUUCCCACCCUCUCUCCUCAGCUCCGUGGUAGCCUUGAAACCAGUGACCUCACAUCUAGAAGAGCUCUGAACACCAGCAACCUACCAGCCACCAGGGGGCAAGACGGAUGGGAGCUCACCAGCAUCAUAUUCCCAGAUAAUUGUCACUAUUUGUCCUGCCUGGCAACUCUCUGAAAAGCAGGGCUUGUCCAUAAUUAAAUAGUCUGAGAGCUCACUCUGUGUAAACACCCUAUUCACUAUCUGAAGGUGCAAGGUAGGAAUCCGGUAGUGCGGGUCUGAGUAGGAGGGAUGACCGUGGACACUACUGCCUUGCUUUGAUUUUGAGGGGAAUACUUCUAAUGUUUCUACCCUAUUAUAAUGUGCUUUAUAGAUUUCUGGUAGAGAUCUUUCUAACAAACGCUUUUAAUUUUUCCUCAUGAAUAUUUGUUGCAUUUUAUCACGCGUGUUUUCUGCGUCGAUUAGGUAAUCAUAUAACCUUCCUCUUUCUCUGUUAAUAUAAUGGGCCAGGUUUUUAUUUAUCCCCUCUCAGCUCCGAAUUCACUCUUCUAGCCUGCUCUCUUAAAAAAUGUCCUGCUUCCUUUAAUUUUUAUAUUCUUGUGGCAGUUGUUACUGAAGUUUGUCUGUAGAGGGCGCCAGAGAUUGCAGAGGAAGAGUUUUGCCUCCUAGU